rnacentral:rRNA from 1 species
GACGAACGCUGGCGGCGUGCCUAAUACAUGCAAGUAGAACGCUGAAGGAGGAGCUUGCUUCUCUGGAUGAGUUGCGAACGGGUGAGUAACGCGUAGGUAACCUGCCUGGUAGCGGGGGAUAACUAUUGGAAACGAUAGCUAAUACCGCAUAAUAGUAGAUGUCGCAUGACAUUUGCUUAAAAGGUGCAAUUGCAUCACUACCAGAUGGACCUGCGUUGUAUUAGCUAGUUGGUGAGGUAACGGCUCACCAAGGCAACGAUACAUAGCCGACCUGAGAGGGUGAUCGGCCACACUGGGACUGAGACACGGCCCAGACUCCUACGGGAGGCAGCAGUAGGGAAUCUUCGGCAAUGGACGGAAGUCUGACCGAGCAACGCCGCGUGAGUGAAGAAGGUUUUCGGAUCGUAAAGCUCUGUUGUAAGAGAAGAACGAGUGUGAGAGUGGAAAGUUCACACUGUGACGGUAUCUUAACAGAAAGGGACGGCUAACUACGUG